AUUGAACGCUGGCGGCAGGCCUAACACAUGCAAGUCGAGCGGAAACGAGUUAUCUGAACCUUCGGGGAACGAUAACGGCGUCGAGCGGCGGACGGGUGAGUAAUGCCUAGGAAAUUGCCCUGAUGUGGGGGAUAACCAUUGGAAACGAUGGCUAAUACCGCAUGAUGCCUACGGGCCAAAGAGGGGGACCUUCGGGCCUCUCGCGUCAGGAUAUGCCUAGGUGGGAUUAGCUAGUUGGUGAGGUAAGGGCUCACCAAGGCGACGAUCCCUAGCUGGUCUGAGAGGAUGAUCAGCCACACUGGAACUGAGACACGGUCCAGACUCCUACGGGAGGCAGCAGUGGGGAAUAUUGCACAAUGGGCGCAAGCCUGAUGCAGCCAUGCCGCGUGUGUGAAGAAGGCCUUCGGGUUGUAAAGCACUUUCAGUCGUGAGGAAGGUGGUGUAGUUAAUAGCUGCAUUAUUUGACGUUAGCGACAGAAGAAGCACCGGCUAACUCCGUGCCAGCAGCCGCGGUAAUACGGAGGGGCGAGCGUUAAUCGGAAUUACUGGGCGUAAAGCGCAUGCAGGUGGUUUGUUAAGUCAGAUGUGAAAGCCCGGGGCUCAACCUCGGAAUAGCAUUUGAAACUGGCAGACUAGAGUACUGUAGAGGGGGGUAGAAUUUCAGGUGUAGCGGUGAAAUGCGUAGAGAUCUGAAGGAAUACCGGUGGCGAAGGCGGCCCCCUGGACAGAUACUGACACUCAGAUGCGAAAGCGUGGGGAGCAAACAGGAUUAGAUCCCUGGUAGUCCACGCCGUAAACGAUGUCUACUUGGAGGUUGUGGCCUUGAGCCGUGGCUUUCGGAGCUAACGCGUUAAGUAGACCGCCUGGGGAGUACGGUCGCAAGAUUAAAACUCAAAUGAAUUGACGGGGGCCCGCACAAGCGGUGGAGCAUGUGGUUUAAUUCGAUGCAACGCGAAGAACCUUACCUACUCUUGACAUCCAGAGAACUUUCCAGAGAUGGAUUGGUGCCUUCGGGAACUCUGAGACAGGUGCUGCAUGGCUGUCGUCA
rnacentral:rRNA from 1 species